UCUGAGGGAAGGUGAGUGUUGCCAGCCAGGUCAUGCCUUAUCCGAAGCGAAGUGAAGACGCUCAGGUGUUUCCCUGUGAAGUUCCGAAGUGAGACUGUUUGGGAUAGAGGAGCAGAGUGGCAGGGGGUUGCUUGCAAGCACAGUGGUCGUUUUGUCCUUUUGUGUUCCCAGGUGUUGUGGAUGAUGGUGGCCGCUCCUUUCAAGCUUGGACCUAAUUUGCAGGUCCAGAGGCAAGUGGAGUGCUGUUUUGAAAGGGUAAAAGUAAAGCUGGGGUCGCUUAUGUUGUUGAGGGAUGGGUGCUACUGCUGGCAGCUGAAUAUUUAUCUUCUGCCUGUGUCUUUCCUUUGUUCAGGUUGAAAUGCAGCGUGCAGUGCGCGGUGCAGGACGUCUCGACCCGAGCUGCCUCUGCAGUGACUCUGGUGCGUGAUGAGCAGAGGUAACUGUUGGUUUUGGGGUGUGGUUGUCACUGCAGUUAUUUUCCUAUGUCCAAUAGAGUAAAACUCCAGUUUGCCUUUUAGAGGUGCUAUAAGUGGGUAAGGAGAAGAGAUGGAAGCAUGUGCCACGUGGGGCAGGCAAGCGGCUGAGGUACAGGAGGGGAUGAGAGUAUGUGAUUUUUUUCUGGGGAUGGAAUGGAAUUGAUUUUGUUGGUGUAUAAUCUGUUCUGCUCCUGGAUUUUUCUUUCUAAGUUUAAAAAUAAGAAUAAAAUUUGAGCUAAUUCCAGUUAAGAAAGUUCCAGUUACUUGCUGGGUCGUAUUGUCCUUUUAAUAUUCAAAGCUGCCGCAAAAGCAUGGGGAUUGUUGCUUUUAGAAACACCUCAGGUCUCGUCUGCACUCUGCAUUCUGUUGAGCUAAAGCAGAUCCCCCCCAAAAAAAACAAACAGGCAAACAAAAAAAAAACCAAACACACACACACAAAUGAACAACGAAAUAAAACACCAUUGGUUGACUUGUUGUGAAUGCAACGAACAUUUAAUCCCUUUGUUUUCCCAGGUGGUGUGGAUGAUACUGGCUGCACUAUUGGAGCUUGGUCUCGGAGAGGAACAGGCGAGCACAAUCGUAUGUUGCAUCAGUAGUAGUCAGCAUUGUGGAGAAGUAGAGUGUAAACCUUUGGAGGAACCUGUCACAGGAAAGAGCUCCUUCUGGAACUGUUCAGCACUCGGGGUGUUGUAG
rnacentral:lncRNA from 1 species